AUCAUCAUUUUCUUGACAUUAACAGGAACAAGAUAGAGGUACAGCAAUUAAGAUAUUUGAAAGAAAAAUAAUAAAGCAUAGCAGCUCAAGACAGACAAGAGUCAGAAAUCCAACACAGCAGCAGGUCCUACAGCCACAAGUCAUUGAAAGAGAAUUUAGGGAUCAUCUAGUCAAAUAUCUCUGUUUUACAGAUGAGCAACUCCAUGCUAAGAGAUGUCUCAAUGACAAAACUAUUUUUGAAAACAUUUUGGCUUUUUUUUUCGAGAGAACUUUUGGGGAUGAUGGAAAGAUUUUAUAUCUUUUAUGAAAUGUUUUAUGUCUUAGUUGUGCUGGUGGUUACACAGCAUAUAGAUUUGUCAAAACUCUUUAAAAUUGUACAGUUUAGUUGGGUAUAUUUUAUUGUAUAUAAAUUAUACCACAAUGAAGUCAUUUUUUCUUGAUCAGGUUUAUCAUAUUCAAAUAAG
rnacentral:lncRNA from 1 species